rnacentral:rRNA from 1 species
CCCUUGGUUCAACCAAGGAAGGGCAUCUGAAACUGUCUGGCUUGAGUACGGGAGGGGGAAGUGGAAUUCCCGGUGUAGAGGUGAAAUUCGUAGAUAUCGGGAGGAACACCGGUGGCGAAGGCGGCCACCUGGACAGACACUGACGCUGAGACGCGAAAGCGUGGGGAGCAAACAGGAUUAGAUACCCUGGUAGUCCACGCUGUAAACGAUGAGUGCUAGCUGUGGUGGGUAUUGACCCCUGCAGUGCCAAGGGCGAAUUCCACAGUG